rnacentral:rRNA from 1 species
AUUGAACGCUGGCGGCAGGCUUAACACAUGCAAGUCGAGCGAGCGGCGGACGGGUGAGUAAUGUCUGGGAAACUGCCUGAUUGAGGGGGAUAACUACUGGAAACGGUAGCUAAUACCGCAUACCAUCAGAUGUGCCCAGAUGGGAUUAGCUAGUAGGUGGGGUAAUGGCUCACCUAGGCGACGAUCCCUAGCUGGUCGGAGAGGAUGACCAGCCACACGGAAACUGAGAGAUGGGCCAGACUACUACGGGAGGCAGCAGGGGGGAAUGUUGCGCAAUGGGACCAAGCCUGAUGCAGCCAUGCCGCGCGUGUGGAGAAGGCCUUCGGGUUGUAAAGCACGUUCAGCGAGGAGGCGUUAAUCGCAGAAGCAGCACCGGCUAACUCCGUGGCAGCAGCCGCGGUAAUUC